UACGAAGGGGGCUAGCGUUGCUCGGAAUCACUGGGCGUAAAGGGUGCGUAGGCGGGUCUUUAGGUCAGGGGUGAAAUCCUGGAGCUCAACUCCAGAACUGCCUUUGAUACUGAAGAUCUUGAGUUCGGGAGAGGUGAGUGGGACUGCGAGUGUAGAGGUGAAAUUCGUAGAUAUUCGCAAGAACACCAGUGGCGAAGGCGGCUCACUGGCCCGAUACUGACGCUGAGGCACGAAAGCGUGGGGAGCAAACAGG
rnacentral:rRNA from 1 species